GAUCUAAAUGCCUAGAAGAGCAAUCAUUUCCAGAAGUUACUUGAUAUACAAGUACUCACUUUCAAGGACUCUUCAUCUCAUGUUCUCGAUAGUUAUUGCUUAUUUAUUGAUUGAUAUGUUUAUUUAUUUGUUGCCUUUUGCACACUGGUCAUUUGUCUGUCCUGUUGGUAUGGUUUUUCGUUGUUUCUAUUGUGUUCCUUGUAUUUACUGUGAAUGUGAUGCUACAUUCAUUCCACACUAACACAUGGAAGGAAAUGUUGGACAAUAUCAAAGUAAAAUGAGGAAAGACUCAAAGCUGCAGAAAUGUGGUUUUUGAGAAGAAUGGUGAAAGUAUCAUGGAGGGACAGAGUAACAAAUGAGGAAGUGUUGUGAACAAGUUCCAAGAUGGCGGCGCGACGCAGCUUGCAGCGGCCACUGCGGAGCUGAUUAUCUGUUAUUUGUGAAGUGGAAUGCCGUGCGGAAUCAUAAUCAAUUGAAAACGGACUUGGGAGCACAGAGGAACAUUGGGAAAUCUCCAGGAAGACCUUCUUCGUUGCUGCUGCUGCUGUGAGGUUCGGGACUCUGCUGGGAAGAACAGGCCCCCAGUCCUCGGGGUCGCGUUGCCGAUGGCCAUUGGCGGGGGCGUCUUAAUACGCUCGGCAGAGGAUGGUGCUCGGAGAAGCUGUGUCGGAGGGGAUGGUUGUCGGCUCGGAGGUUCGACGGACUCGGAGACCGCUGCAGUCAGGUUGCUGGCGGUGUGUGCUGCGUCUGUGAGGCUGGGUUCGACAGAGCUUUCAUUGUGUGCUGUGUCUGCGAGGCUGAGUUGGGCGGCGCCGUGGAAGUCCAUAGCAGGGGUAUUCCCUUCUGCUGCCAGCGUGGGAUGUUGCUGCCAGAGCUGCUGAAUGUUUGCCGCAUUUCUCUUUCGAUGGGGGAGCAACUGCAUCCUUUUGUCAUGGCAGGGUACCUUUGCUUUUGUUCUUGGGCACGAAGAAGAAGAGAAGAAGAGAAGAAGCAGGACAAAAUGCAGUUAACAUUAUGUGGAAGUAUACAUCAUCAUUAUACGGCCCGUAGUCUGGUAAUACGAUGUUCUAAAGAAGAUGGUGGCUGCAGCCAACACGUAGUUCAUGUUCUGAUGUGUUUCAGGUGUUGAAGUGGCGUCUGCAUCGGACCUUGGGGUGAAUGGCCCGGGGUUCAAAUCCGGCCAGCUCCUACAGGCUUUCCAUCAACGCUGGGUUGAGCUUCGAGCUGGCAACUCGACCUCAUAAAGAAACAGACAAACGCUGAAGAAAUGGCAAGGUUGCCCCCCAAUGCACCACAGGGCAUGGUGAAGAACAACAGCACAAAAUCUUAGAUUUCAUACACAAGUCCAUGACUUUCCUAGAAGCUAGCAUGUACAGAGGAAACUCAGCAGGUCAUCCGCCUAUAAUUCCAUUUAGUCCUAUAGACUAUUGGUGCUAUUGGAGUGAACUUAGCAACAAGGAAGAAACAAUGGAUUCUUGUGUCUUGCUGUCUUGUAGGGGCAAGUCAGAGACACUACCAGAUGUAAAGAAAAAAAAAAUACACUCGUUUGGCUAAAGCUAUCUCAACAUAUUGACUCCUGAUCACACCCAGGGGAAAUGUUGAACAGACUCAUUCUUGAAAACUGCGGUUUAUAUUAAUGGAUCUGCUGUAAGAUUACAUAUUUGGCAUAUAUUGUUACACAGGUAUGCAUUACAUUAAUUUUAUAAUGUCUUUACAUCCGGUUAAGUGCAAAUAUACCAAGAUAAAACUAAAGACAGUGAUUUGCAAGUGAUGCCUUUGCUGUUCUCUUGACUAGGCAGUUGUAUAUUUGACAUCAUCUUCUACUUUGUAUGUUAACCUUAGCACCUGUUAAGUUGCCCUUUCUAUAUCCCUUCAAAGAUCAAAUAAGUCUGAUGGAAAAUUGUCCUUACAAAUUGAUCUUCUACUUCAGAAAUGAAAAGAACAUAAUGGAAGGAUCAGUGCUGAGGGCCUCAAAUAGUUUCCAUCAUCACAGUCUUCAGAUUGACUUGAUGAAGGCAAGGAUCUCGAAUAUCCUGGUCCAAGGGCUUACUAUUGUGGGUCAUGUAGAUUGCCAUCAUUCUGCUUGAUCACAAACAAAUUGGAUUUAGUGAACUUGGAAAAAAUUUUCUAUGUAGUUGCAUAUUCUAACCAAGAUAGUUCAACUCAGGCAUUAAAGACUGUGCUCAAAAACAGCCUGAUGAGCGACAUCCUAUUUUGACCGAUGCUGUUACGUUGUUUGUUGCCUGGACUAAACUAACUGAUUUGAUUGGUUUAUAUCAAGUCGGAUUGAAGUAAGACUAGUCAAAUGUAGAUAUGCUGUCUUUAUCAUUUUCUUGGCUUUUUACCAUGUGCAAGAAACAAAUACUUGAGUUUCACUGAUUUUCAAUAAUGAUUUUUUAAUUUUUAAUUUUUGAGAUACAGCAUGGAACAGUCCCUUCUGGUCCUUUGAACCUUUUGUCAAUACUGUAAAGGAAGGGGGAGGAACCCAGAAUAGGGUAGUGUGGGAAGGGAAGGAGUACAAGCUGGCAGGUGAUAGGUGAGACCAAGAGAGGAGGCAGGUGGGUGAAUGGAUGGGGGAGGAGGGGGAUGAAGAAAGAAGUUAGACUUCUUCCCUCUUCCUUUCCAGUCCAGGCCCGAAGUAUUGACUGUUUAUUCCCCUCCAAUAAACACUGCCUGACCUGCUGAGUUCCUCAAGCACUUUGCGUGUUACUCAAGAUUUCCAGCAUCUGUAGAAUCUCUAGUGCUUAUGGCAUUGAACUUAGUUUGAUGUGAAACAUGUGGGAUAUUUUAU